rnacentral:rRNA from 1 species
AUUGAACGCUGGCGGCAUGCCUUACACAUGCAAGUCGAACGGCAGCACGGGGCAACCUGGUGGCGAGUGGCGAACGGGUGAGUAAUGCAUCGGAACGUACCUUUCAGUGGGGGAUAACGUAGCGAAAGUUACGCUAAUACCGCAUAUUCUGUGAGCAGGAAAGCAGGGGAUCGCAAGACCUUGCGCUGAUUGAGCGGCCGAUGUCAGAUUAGCUAGUUGGUGAGGUAAAGGCUCACCAAGGCGACGAUCUGUAGCGGGUCUGAGAGGAUGAUCCGCCACACUGGAACUGAGACACGGUCCAGACUCCUACGGGAGGCAGCAGUGGGGAAUUUUGGACAAUGGGGGCUACCCUGAUCCAGCCAUGCCGCGUGAGUGAAGAAGGCCUUCGGGUUGUAAAGCUCUUUCGGCCGGGAAGAAAUCGCACAGGCUAAUACCCUGUGUGGAUGACGGUACCGGAAUAAGAAGCACCGUCUAACUACGUGCCAGCCGCCGCAGUAACAC